AGGAAAUAGAAAGGUUCAGAAACGCUGAUUUCCUUCCUGUUCACAUGCCUAUGGUGAUAUAGGUCUAAUCUCACAAUCAGAAUCAGAAUCAGAAUCAGGUUUAUUGGCCAAGUGUGUUGAUGUUGACACACAGACAUCAAUAACAUUAUACUAUACAUUUAGCUAUACAAGACAAAACAGACUAUAAAGACAAUACAAACAAUGUGAGACAAUAUAGACUGUGAGUAUUAAAUAAGAAUACAGAAUAUAUAAUAUAAAAAUAUUCACAGCAUCAUAGAAAUAAACAGCCAAGAAUUGCUUCACAUCUGUGAGAAUGAAAUAAAGAGGUAACAGUAGUAUGUAGAGAAACCUCAAUGAUGCUGAGAGUUCUCAUUGAUGCUGUGUUGGAGAAGCGGUGGAAAGAGUUUCAUUAAUUAAGAAAAUGAUAAGACGUAAUCUUCACAGCAAUACUGAUUUUAUUGUUCAUGAAAAUAUCUUAGAGCCAUGUAGAGUCAUGACUGAGCUACCAUUUACUAGUGAGCUGAUGUUCUCCAUCAUGUUAAUGUACUGAACACCUGAUUGUUGCUCCUUAGUGAGUGUUUUGUUAGGUUUUUAAAGCAGCGUCUGUUUGCAGAAGACCCAGAUACCAACCAAGUGGAGGUUCUCCGAGUGGAACUGGAGGAACUGCAGCAGAAGUAUGACCUGCUCCAGGAGGAGAACCGUGAGCUCAGGAACCAGAGAUUUCUCUCUAUAAUCUGCAUGAAGUCUUCUCCAGAACAUCCCAAAUACUGUCAGUGGGGUUAAGGUUGGACUCUGGUGUCCAAUCCAUGUGUGAAGAUGGUGUCUGAUGCUUUCUGAUCCUCUCUCACAGUGUGAGCUUGAUGAAUCCUGCCAUUGUCAUCUUGGAAUAUGGCUGUGAUGGAACAACCUGGUCAUUCAGUAUAUUCAGGUCAUCAGCUGACCUCAUAUUUUGGGCACAAAACGAUGCUGAACCUAAAACUGAGCAACUGAAACAACCCCAGAUCAUCUCACUGCCCCACAGCCUUGUACGCCAGGCACUAGGCAUGAUGGGAGAGUCACUUCAUCCACCUCUCGUCUUACCCUGAGACAUCCAUUACUCUGGAACAGGGUAGAUCUGGAUACAUCAGAUCACAGGACCUUCCGUUGUUCCAGAGUCUUAUCUUUAUGCUCUUUAGCUAAUUGAAGCCCCUUUUUUAUGAUUAACCUGUGUAUAUAACUGGUGUAUUUAAGCAGUUAAAUAUACAGAGAAUUAUAAAAUAUGAACCUUCCUGUAGGGUUCAGUAUUUAGCAAGUUGAUGUGCUUGUUUGUUUAAACAGCAAUAAAUCUGACAUGUCUAA